rnacentral:rRNA from 1 species
GACGAACGCUGGCGGCGUGCUUAACACAUGCAAGUCGAACGAAGAGCGAUGGAAGCUUGCUUCUAUCAAUCUUAGUGGCGAACGGGUGGGUAACGCGUAAUCAACCUGCCCUUCAGAGGGGGACAACAGUUGGAAACGACUGCUAAUACCGCAUACGAUCUAAUCUCGGCAUCGAGGAUAGAUGAAAGGUGGCCUCUACAUGUAAGCUAUCACUGAAGGAGGGGAUUGCGUCUGAUUAGCUAGUUGGAGGGGUAACGGCCCACCAAGGCGAUGAUCAGUAGCCGGUCUGAGAGGAUGAACGGCCACAUUGGGACUGAGACACGGCCCAGACUCCUACGGGAGGCAGCAGUGGGGAAUCUUCCGCAAUGGACGAAAGUCUGACGGAGCAACGCCGCGUGAGCGAUGACGGCCUUCGGGUUGUAAAGCUCUGUUAAUCGGGACGAAAGGCCUUCUUGCGAAUAGUGAGAAGGAUUGACGGUACCGGAAUAGAAAGCCACGGCUAACUACGUG